rnacentral:rRNA from 1 species
CUAUACAUGCAGUCGAACGCUUCUUUUUCCACCGGAGCUUGCUCCACCGGAAAAAGAGGAGUGGCGAACGGGUGAGUAACACGUGGGUAACCUGCCCAUCAGAAGGGGAUAACACUUGGAAACAGGUGCUAAUACCGUAUAACAAUCGAAACCGCAUGGUUUUGAUUUGAAAGGCGCUUUCGGGUGUCGCUGAUGGAUGGACCCGCGGUGCAUUAGCUAGUUGGUGAGGUAACGGCUCACCAAGGCGACGAUGCAUAGCCGACCUGAGAGGGUGAUCGGCCACAUUGGGACUGAGACACGGCCCAAACUCCUACGGGAGGCAGCAGUAGGGAAUCUUCGGCAAUGGACGAAAGUCUGACCGAGCAACGCCGCGUGAGUGAAGAAGGUUUUCGGAUCGUAAAACUCUGUUGUUAGAGAAGAACAAGGAUGAGAGUAACUGUUCAUCCCUUGACGGUAUCUAACCAGAAAGCCACGGCUAACUACGUGCCAGCAGCCGCGGUAAUACGUAGGUGGCAAGCGUUGUCCGGAUUUAUUGGGCGUAAAGCGAGCGCAGGCGGUUUCUUAAGUCUGAUGUGAAAGCCCCCGGCUCAACCGGGGAGGGUCAUUGGAAACUGGGAGACUUGAGUGCAGAAGAGGAGAGUGGAAUUCCAUGUGUAGCGGUGAAAUGCGUAGAUAUAUGGAGGAACACCAGUGGCGAAGGCGGCUCUCUGGUCUGUAACUGACGCUGAGGCUCGAAAGCGUGCGGAGCAGACAGGAUUAGAUACCCUGGUAGUCCACGCCGUACACGAUGAGUGCUAAGUGUUGGAGGGUUUCCGCCCUUCAGUGCUGCAGCUAACGCAUUAAGCACUCCGCCUGGGGAGUACGACCGCAAGGUUGAGACUCAAAGGAAUUGACGGGGGCCCGCACAACCGAUGGAGCAUGUGGUUUAGUUCGAACCAACGCGAAGAACCUUACCAGGUCGUGACAUCCUUUGACCACUCUAGAGAUAGAGCUUCCCCUUCGGGGGCAAAGUGACAGUGGUGCAUGGUUGUCGUCAGCUCGUGUCUUGACAGGUGAGGUAAAUCCCGCACCACCGCAGCCCUUAUGGUAAUUGCAUUGGUUAGUGGGAAAACUACCAGACGGCCCCCGACAAAGGGAGGAGGGGGGGGGGGGGAGGGGGGGGGGGGCCCAUUAUACCGGGGGGU